rnacentral:tRNA from 9 species
UGCGGAUUGGUGUAAUGGCAGCACAACAGACUCUGACUCUGUUUGUGAAGGUUCGAGUCCUUCAUCCGUAG